rnacentral:rRNA from 1 species
GGUGAAAGCCCCGUACGCGAAAGCCGGGACCGGCCCGCGGGAAUCCCAAGUAGGACGGCACACGUGAAACGCCGUCCGAAUCCGGGGGGCCCACCCUCCAAGGCUGAAUACUAGUCGGCGACCGAUAGCGAACCAGUACCGUGAGGGAAAGGUGAAAAGAACCCCGUCUAGGGGAGUGAAACAGAACCUGAAAUCAUGCGCCCGCAAACUGUGGGAGCCUGACCACUGAAUUGUUGGGUGUGAAAUGCAUUGCGUGUAUGUCCUCCAGAAUCUAGACCCCGAAGAAGAGUUCUAUCUAGGCUGCAGCGCCGACCUAAGACGUCGAGUGGCCGAACACAACAGCGGAUUGAACAAUUCCACCGCGGGCAGAAAAUGGAGAUUGGCGUAUUACGAAGCGUACGUGAACAAGCGGGCAGCCAUGCGAAGAGAGACUUCCCUCAAGAAGAACCGCCGCAUGAAGAGCCUUCUUCUGUCCCGCGUGCGCGGCAGCCUCCAGUGAUUCAGUGGUCAGGUGACCGCAUGCCUUUUGCAUAAUGAGCCUGCGAGUUGCUUUUCGGAGCAAGGUUAACCUGACCGCUGAGUUGUCAAGGGAUUCAGCAUUUUCCUUUGCCGCGAAAAGGCAGAGCCGCCGGGGGAAUGCCGGAUUUUUUUCUUUUGACGAUUCAGCGGUCAGGGGAGCCGAAGCGAAAGCGAGUGCGAACAGCGCGUUCAAGUUCCGGGGAGCAGACCCGAAACCGAGUGAUCCACCCAUGGGCAGGAUGAAACUCCGGUAACACGGAGCGGAGGUCCGAACCGGUACGUGUUGAAAAACGUUCGGAUGACCUGUGGGUAGGGGUGAAAGGCCAAUCAAACUCGGUGAUAGCUGGUUCUCUCCGAAAUAGCUUUAGGGCUAGCCUCGCGCCAUUGCCUACGGGGGUAGAGCACUGAUUGCUUGCGGGUCCCUUCCGGGAUACCAAAAGCUGUCAAACUCCGAAUACCGUACGGUUCAGCGCGGGAGUCAGACUGCGGGGGAUAAGCUCCGCAGUCGAAAGGGAAACAGCCCGGACCGCCGGCUAAGGUCCCCAAUUCGGACUGAGUGGAUACAAGGAUGUGGAAUUGCGCGAACAACCAGGAUGUUGGCUUAGAGGCAGCCAUCAUUUAAAGAGUGCGUAAUAGCUCACUGGUCGAGUGAUUCCGCGCCGAAAAUGAUCGGGACUAAGUCCGGAACCGAAGCCGCGGCCCGACCACUCAAUUCAAAGCAGCGGGGUGCGAGAAUUCCGGGUCGGCUGCGCGGCCGAGCCGGGAGAAAGCAUCCGGCGCUGUCGUGAAUUGAGUGGUCGGGGGUAGGAGAGCGUGACGCCCGGGUCGAAGCCGCCCCGCGAGGGACGGUGGACUGGGCGCCAGUGAAAAUGCAGGCAUGAGUAGCGAUAAAACAGGUGAGAAUCCUGUUCACCGAAAGCCCAAGGUUUCCUGGGGCAGGUUCGUCCACCCAGGGUUAGUCGGAUCCUAAGGCGAGGCCGAAAGGCGUAGUCGAUGGACCACAGGUUAAUAUUCCUGUACUUCCCGACCGGAGCGAUGGAGUGACGCAGAGUGCCAGGCCGGCCGUCUGAUGGAAUAGGCGGUCCAAGCGCGCAGGGCGACCGGAUAGGCAAAUCCGCCGGUCGCAAGCCCGAGGCGCGACGGGACGCGGAGUCUACGGACGAAGCGAAUCGGCUGCGGCUGUGCUGCCAAGAAAAGCUUCUAAGCGUCGAAGGUCGGGGAUCCGUACCGCAAACCGACACAGGCAGGCGGGUCGAGAAGACCAAGGUGCGCGGGAGAAACCACGUUAAGGAACUCGGCAAAAUAGCCCCGUAACUUCGGAAGAAGGGGCGCCCCCGGGGGUGAAGGGACUUGCUCCCCGAGCCUUUGGGGGCCGCAGUGAAACGGCCCAGGCGACUGUUUAGCAAAAACACAGCUCUCUGCCAACUCGCAAGAGGAAGUAUAGGGAGUGACACGUGACCAAUGCCGAAAGGUCAAGUGGAGGGGUUCGUUCCGUUCGCGGGACAAAGCUCCGAAACGAAGCCCCGGUGAAUGUCGGCCGUAACUAUAACGGUCCUAAGGUAGCGAAAUUCCUUGUCGGGUAAGUUCCGACCCGCACGAAUCGUGCAACGAUCUGGGCACUGUCUCAACGUGGUUCCCGGCGAAAUUGUAGUUCCGGUGAAAAUGCCGGAUACCCGCGGUAGGACGGAAAGACCCCGUGAACCUUUACUGUAAUCUGAUAUUGGCAUCCGGUCAUCGAUGUGUAGGAUAGGUGGGAGUCUUUGAACCCCCUUCGUCAGGAGGGGCGGAGACGCCGGUGAAAUACCACCCUUCGCUGGUUGGCUGUCUAACCCCGAACCCGUGAAUCCGGGCGGGGAACCGUGUCAGAGGGUCAGUUUGACUGGGGCGGUUUCCUCCGAAAAGGUAACGGAGGAGUUCGAAGGUUGGCUCAGCAUGGUCGGCAAUCAUGCACAGA